CAAUAGCGUAUAUUUAAGUUGCUGCAGUUAAAAAGCUCGUAGUUGGAUUUCGGGUGGGAAUGGCCGGUCCGCCGUUUCGGUGUGCACUUGCUACGCCCACCUUGCUGCCGGGGACGUGCUCUUGAGUUCACGCUCGGGACACGGAGUCGGCGAGGUUACUUUGAGUAAAUUAGAGUGUCCAAAGCAGGCCUACGCUCUGAAUACAUUAGCAUGGAAUAACACGAUAGGACUCUGGCCUAUCUUGUUGGUCUGUAGGACCGGAGUAAUGAUUAAGAGGGACAGUCGGGGGCAUUCGUAUUUCAUUGUCAGAGGUGAAAUUCUUGGAUUUAUGAAAGACGAACUACUGCGAAAGCAUUUGCCAAGGAUGUUUUCAUUAA
rnacentral:rRNA from 1 species